AUGCCUCUUAAUUCUACUGCAUACAGACGCCUGUUUGCCAUUCAGCAAUGGGAGAAGGAAAGAGAGCUUUUGUUUGCUCUUGAAAGAAGACAGAAGGAUGAGCAGCACUUUACAGAAUCACCUCAGCUGGUAUAUAAACAAACCUGUGUACAUGAACCAAUAAAUAAAUAAAUAAAUAAUAAUUAAAAAAAAGGUCUGCAAGACAAUUUUGAAGUAGACUUCUCAGCUUUAUUUUUAACAGAAAUUAUUCUGCCAAGGUUAACUUGGAAUAAUGCUGUGUCAUUAACAGCAGAGAUAAAGGUGAGCAGAGCUUGACAAGCCCUGUGGAAAGGGCAGGGCUCCUUAAGGGUCUCUGAAUGAGCAGGCAGUGACUUCUGGAGUAAGAGAGGAGGUGAGCUUUUUGAACCUACUAAACAGCAAAGGUAAGGGCAGAGGUGAAGCUGAUAUGACCAGAUUGGAAGUUGCUGGUGGUUUGUGCAUGGUAGAGUUUUAGGCUUCAGCCCUUUGCUUGAACAAUGGCAUUUUGUUACUAAUAACAAGCUGUAGCACCACGUUAUUAAGCAGACAGACAGCAGGCAGCAUCUACACACAAUAUACUUUUUGUACUCUUUUUUUUUUUUUCCCUGAAAUACUUUCAGAAGGUUAUUCUUCCAUACAGUAGAUCACUUGCUUACAGAAAUGAGAAAACUAGUUUCAUCUGCUGCAUCUCUUUCAAAUUUAAGUUCAGAGAUGUGAGAACAGGGACCCAGACUUUUCAAAGUCAGGCUGUUUGAGGUGGGAAAACUUGGGUCACCAUUCUGUGAUUCUGUGUUUCUACUGUACUGUCUAAAUAAUACCAGUGCCUGUUGUGCACACAGGACUCAGAUGGCCAGGGCACCUGCUAAAAUAUUCAUUAGACAGUUGAAUUGAGUGCUUAAGGACUUGUAUACUUGUGGAAACAUUCAGAAUCAAUUUCAUCAUAGCUAUCACUUUUAAAUGGCUUUUGCUGCUUCGUGUCUCACCUUGGUGUUGUUCUGGUAUUCUGACUGUGCUGAGUUGCAGGCAGUUCCCAGUAUAUUUAAUACACCCAAGGUGUAAGGGGUUGUUAGUGGAAGGUGCUAGGAAAUUACGAUUAGAUGCAUUUUAAAGAUGUGUAAGUGUUUCUUGCCAGAUUUGCUUGUCCCAGGCAAUU
rnacentral:lncRNA from 1 species